CAGCAGCCGCGGGAAAACAGAGGGUGCGAGCGUUAAUCGGAUUUACUGGGCGUAAAGCGUGCGUAGGCGGCUUUUUAAGUCGGAUGUGAAAUCCCUGAGCUUAACUUAGGAAUUGCAUUCGAUACUGGGAAGCUAGAGUAUGGGAGAGGAUGGUAGAAUUCCAGGUGUAGCGGUGAAAUGCGUAGAGAUCUGGAGGAAUACCGAUGGCGAAGGCAGCCAUCUGGCCUAAUACUGACGCUGAGGUACGAAAGCAUGGGGAGCAAACAGGAUUAGAUACCCGGGUAGUCCCUGUCUCUUAUAA
rnacentral:rRNA from 1 species